ACGGGAGGCAGCAGUAGGGUAUAUUGCACAAUGGGGGAAACCCUGAUGCAGCGACGCCGCGUGAGUGAUGAAGUAUUUCGGUACGUAAAGCUCUAUCAGCAGGGAAGAUAAUGACGGUACCUGCAUAAGAAGCCCCGGCUAACUACGUGCCAGCAGCCGCGGUAAUACGUAGGGGGCAAGCGUUAUCCGGAUUUACUGGGUGUAAAGGGAGUGUAGGUGGUCGGGCAAGUCUGAUGUGAAAGCCCGCGGCUCAACCGCGGGACUGCAUUGGAAACUGUCCGACUGGAGUGCAGGAGAGGAAAGUGGAAUUCCUAGUGUAGCGGUGAAAUGCGUAGAUAUUAGGAAGAACACCGGUGGCGAAGGCGGCUUGCUGGACUGAGACUGACGCUGAGGCUCGAAAGCGUGGGGAGCAAACAGGAUUAGAUACCCUGGUA
rnacentral:rRNA from 1 species